rnacentral:rRNA from 1 species
UACGUAGGGCGCAAGCGUUGUCCGGAAUUAUUGGGCGUAAAGAGCGUGUAGGCGGCUUGGUAGGUCCGCUGUGAAAACUCGAGGCUCAACCUCGAGAUGUCGGCGGAAACCACUUGGCUAGAGUCCGGAAGAGGAGAGUGGAAUUCCCGGUGUAGCGAUGAAAUGCGCAGAUAUCGGGAAGAACACCUAUGGCGAAGGCAGCUCUCUGGGACGGUACUGACGCUGAGACGCGAAAGCGUGGGGAGCGAACAGG